rnacentral:lncRNA from 1 species
GGGAUUUAAGCAAAUAUGCAAACAAAAAUUUUUUAGUUGGAAGAAGCGAAAGUUAUGAUCGAGUUAAUGGUUACUGUUAUACUUGUUGCUGGAUGUUUGAUGUUUGUACAAACAUUCAUAAUGAGAAGUUGCUUUUUAGUUGGCCAACCGGCACAAAACUCGCACUUUAGUAACAAUUCGCUUACAAAAUUUUAAAGUUUACUAAAUAACAUUUUUUUUUUGUUAAGUUUUUUUUUUUCGUUUAACAAACUCUAUAAACAGUAUUUUAUUCAAAAAAUCCUGAACUUUUGAAAGGAAGUGCGUUAUAAACUAUACUUUCUUUUUCUAUUGUACUUUUAAACGCGUCUAUUCAUUGAUAUUCGAUAUUUUGAAAAAUGAACGCUAUCUUUAAUGAAGAAUUUCAAAACAAAUCAAAGCAGUUAUAUAAAAGAAUUUAUUUUACUAAAAGUUUUGCUACAAGAAAUACACAUGGGCAGCAAAUAAAAUUUGUGAAAGAGUUAUACUUGAAACCGCUUUGGGCUUUAUCCGACCCAUUCAAGGCAUCAUGCGAGAGGAACUCAUAAUUUAAAAUACGUCAAAAAGUAUCAGAGUUUCAAUAGGAAAGCCCUUUUUACUCUUUAUUUGUUAUUAUGGCUGUUUUGGUGAUUAUAUUUGCAAUUCUAGUGUUUACCGCUAUAACUUUUAUACAAGCGGCAAUGCUGCUCAAAUGUCCUUGCUUAAAAAACCGAAUAUGUACUGUUCCCAACAGAUGUAAUGGGACAAGCCCACAUUUUUGAAGUUUUUUUAAAAUAGACAGUUUUUAAAAAGCAACAACAUUGUAUUAUUUUUAGUGGUAAAUUUUUUUUUUUAUUUGUUUGUUUUUAAAUACAAAGUUUUUUAAUUUUAUCUUUAUUGUAUCUAUUUUAUUUUUGAAAAAGUGUAAAUAUCGUAACUAAAUGAUAAAAAUGUAAAAAUGGGUUUUUAAAUGAAUCAUAAAUUUUGAAUGAAUAUUCAAGAGAUAUGCUAUAUAAAUAUAUGAUGAAAUUUA